rnacentral:rRNA from 1 species
CAAUAGCGUAUAUUAACGUUGUUGCAGUUAAAAAGCUCGUAGUUGGAUUUCUGGAGGGAGCGUCGGCCCGUAUUUACGAGUGCGUGACGUCUCUGUCCAUCCUUGCGGGAAGGCACGGCAUUGAUUUGUUGUGUCGGAUCGCAUCAUUUACUGUGAAAAAAUUAGAGUGUUCAAAGCAGGCUUUCGCUUGAAUACAUUAGCAUGGAAUAAUAAGAUAGGACUUUGGUGCUAUUUUGUUGGUUGAGCCUAAAGUAAUGAUUAUUAGGGAUAGUUGGGGGCACCUGUAUUGCGUUGUCAGAGGUGAAAUUCUUGGAUUUACGCAAGACAAACAGCUGCGAAAGCGUCUGCCAAGGAUGUUUUCAUUAA